AACCCCUGACAAUGGGCAAAGAGGCACCUUGUUGAUGGAGUUUUCCUUAUAUCAGUCAGGGGCAGAGCAGCUGUCAGGCCUAUGUUUAUUCUAGCUUGAGGCCAGGCUUGGUGACCAAAGCUGUAUUAUACCUAAGUCUCAUAC